rnacentral:rRNA from 1 species
AUUGAACGCUGGCGGAAUGCUUUACACAUGCAAGUCGAACGGCAGCACGGGGGCAACCCUGGUGGCGAGUGGCGAACGGGUGUGUAAUACAUCGGAACGUGCCCGGGCGGGGGGUAUAACGUAGCGAAAGUUACUCUAAUACCGCAUACGAUCUGAGGAUGAAAGCGGGGGACCUUCGGGCCUCGCGCGAUCGGAGCCGCCGAUGUCAGAUUAGGUAGUUGGUGGGGUAAAGGCCUACCAAGCCGACGAUCUGUAGCUGGUCUGAGAGGACGACCAGCCACACUGGGACUGAGACACGGCCCAGACUCCUACGGGAGGCAGCAGUGGGGAAUUUUGGACAAUGGGCGCAAGCCUGAUCCAGCCAUGCCGCGUGCAGGACGAAGGCCUUCGGGUUGUAAACUGCUUUUGUAUGGAACGAAAAGGCUCUGGCUAAUACCUGGGGCUCAUGACGGUACCGUAAGAAUAAGCACCGGCUAACUACGUG